UUUGUCGGGGCAACAUAUCUGUCACAUGAAUUUUACGAGGUAAGAGCAAUAUUCACCUUAACAUUUUAAAUUGAAUCAUUAGUAAAUUCAUGAAAUAAAUUCUACUUAUCGCUUUCACAUUAUUGUUGAUUUCUCUAGUUAGGUCUCGGUGUAGGUUCAUUUCUCGUUAGGUGUCUGUGUAGGAUCUUUUCUCGUUAGGUCUCUGUGUAUUGUUUCUCUCGCUAGGAUAUCUUCUGUAUCUUGUUAGGUCUUAGGAAUUAGCAAAUAAUAUGACACUGAAAAGUAGAAUUUGUUUCAUAAUUUCCAAUGAUUUAGUCGCCAUUUUGGAUUGACUUGAAGCGUGUUGCGUUGGUUUAUUAAAGAGGAACCCUUGAUGAGGUAAGAUCUAACAGGCGAGGCAACUAACGAUAUAUAUCAAGAAACAAAAAGCUGAAUCAAGACUGUACACGUAAACUCAUUUCCUU